rnacentral:lncRNA from 1 species
UGCGAGGUCCAUCAAAUUCCAGUGGCACAGGUCGUGUGGAAGUACUCUACAAUGGACGAUGGGGAACAAUUUGUCAUUAUAGUUGGGAUAUAAACGAUGCUCGGGUUGUCUGUCGCCAACUUGGUUAUGCAUAUGCUGCUAGAGCUCUUCGAGGGCAUCAAGUUCCUGAUGGAACUGGACAUAUAUGGUUAAAAUAUGUCGGAUGUACUGGAAAUGAAGAAAAUUUAAUCAGUUGUUCUCAUGGCGGAUGGGGAAAUACUUAUUGCCGGCAUUAUCAGGACGCAGGAGUGGAAUGUUCGGCAACAGGUAAAAUUAGA